GACGAACGCUGGCGGCGUGCUUAACACAUGCAAGUCGAACGGAAAGUCCCUGCUUUUGUGGGGUGCUCGAGUGGCGAACGGUUGAGUCACACGUUCUUAACCUGCCUUUCACUUUGGGAUAACUUCUGAUAACUGGUGCUCCUACCUGAUAGGAGCUCCUGCUGCAUGGUGUGGGUUGGCAAGUUUCGGCGGUUGGGGUUGGACUCGCGGCGUCUCAGCUUGUUGGUGGGGUAGUGUCUUACCAAGGCUUUGACCGGUAGACGGCCUGAGAGGGUGACAGGCCACAUUGGGACUGAGAUACGGCACAGACUACUACGGGAGGCAGCAGUGGGGAAUAUUGCACAAUGGGCGGAAGCCUGAUGCAGCAAAGCCGCGUGGGGGAUGAGGGCCUGCGGGUUGGAAACCGAUGUCGCCUGUGACGAAGCGUGAGUGACGGUAAUGGGUAAAGAAGCACCGGCUAACUACGUG
rnacentral:rRNA from 1 species